UACGUAGGUGGCAAGCGUUAUCCGGAAUUAUUGGGCGUAAAGCGCGCGUAGGCGGUUUUUUAAGUCUGAUGUGAAAGCCCACGGCUCAACCGUGGAGGGUCAUUGGAAACUGGAAAACUUGAGUGCAGAAGAGGAAAGUGGAAUUCCAUGUGUAGCGGUGAAAUGCGCAGAGAUAUGGAGGAACACCAGUGGCGAAGGCGACUUUCUNGGUCUGUAACUGACGCUGAUGUGCGAAAGCGUGGGGAUCAAAC
rnacentral:rRNA from 1 species